ACUCCUACGGGAGGCAGCAGUAGGGAAUCUUCCACAAUGGACGCAAGUCUGAUGGAGCAACGCCGCGUGAGUGAAGAAGGGUUUCGGCUCGUAAAGCUCUGUUGUUGGUGAAGAAGGACAGGGGUAGUAACUGACCUUUGUUUGACGGUAAUCAAUUAGAAAGUCACGGCUAACUACGUGCCAGCAGCCGCGGUAAUAC
rnacentral:rRNA from 2 species